CGUAGGGCGCGAGCGUUGUCCGGAUUUAUUGGGCGUAAAGAGCUCGUAGGCGGCUUGUCGCGUCGUCCGUGAAAACCUGCAGCUCAACUGCAGGCUUGCGGUCGAUACGGGCAGGCUGGAGUUCGGUAGGGGAGACUGGAAUUCCUGGUGUAGCGGUGAAAUGCGCAGAUAUCAGGAGGAACACCGGUGGCGAAGGCGGGUCUCUGGGCCGAUACUGACGCUGAGGAGCGAAAGCGUGGGGAGCGAACAGGAUUAGAUACCCUGGUAGUCCACGCUGUAAACGUUGGGCGCUAGGUGUGGGGGGCCUCUCCGGUUCUCUGUGCCGCAGCUAACGCAUUAAGCGCCCCGCCUGGGGAGUACGGCCGCGAGGCUA
rnacentral:rRNA from 1 species